UCCAUCCAGGAUCCUACAUUUAGUCAUCUGGGUCUGAAAACAUUGCUUGUUUCCUCUGAUUAGCAUUAAGCUGCUUUUAUGAUUACACUGAAAUCAUUUUAACACAAAGUUGGUAGAUAAGUCUGCCUUUGUCAUUUUAAACCAGGGUCUGAUUCAUUGUCAAAGCUCUCCUUUGUGCUUAUGGCUGCAGAAGUAUCCAAAGCAACCAGCUAAGCUGGAUGCGGAUCCCUCUCCAAAUUCCUCCUUGCAUGAGUAAUAGUUAGUCACAAAACCAGUGCUGCUGUCCUUGCCUUAGUCACCAGGCCCAUGCAGUCACUCCUUGCCGUCCUUUAUGCUGAGCAGCUCUGGGGAGGGGGAUUAUCUGUGCUCGAUAGGCCUCCAUCCUGACCCCAUCUCUUCCAUCUUGCGUGGGGAGAACAGGAAAUGAUUAUUUGGAAUGCACGGUUCUUCGUGUAGGAGACCUGACCCAGCCCUGAGUCAGCUUUAUAAAGCCACACCUUGCUCUCCAGUCAUGGAGAGCAACUGUCUCCACCUCUAUGGAAGAUGCUGUCCCAUGCCUGAGACAACAGAUGGUUUUGAAGUGGCUGAGGGUCCCCGUUACCUUGUGGAAAGGAUGGCUAAGGGAAAAUCCAGGGAUCUGAAUCAUCACUUCCUCUUAGGUAAUAGCAUCAUCAUACUUGUGUCAGCAGCUGUCAUCAGAAACCAGCUGGACUCCCUUCUUACUGCAGUUCAGUUACUCUUGAGCAAACUCUGGGCAACUUCCUGAGAGCAAUAACUGCCUGGGAAGUCUUGAAGUGUAUCUAAAUAUUUGGUGGUUGCUGCAGUGUGAUAAUUCCCAAUGUGUACAUGUGCCACAGUGUUGCACUGGUUGAGGACCAGUGCUGGGUGGACCCAUCAGGGCGUAGGACUGCCUGCAGACCCACUCCGCCCCAUCACUGGUACCCACUAUUUCAGUUUCUCCUGAAGCAGAAGCAUCUGGGUGCUGUUCAUCUGGUCCACCUCCUUCCCAUUUAUGGGUUCCAAGUGAAAGCCUGUUAAAUAGAACGCACGUCCUAGGCACAUCAUCUUCCAUGAUCUCAGGCUGACCAAAAUGUUUGUCUUGCCUGCGGUGCAUGUGUUGAUGGCUCGGUGUGCUGUUCUCUGGCUAGGGGCGUUUGGGAAAUUCCAGCCACCCUAACAGCAGUGGUGGCCUCAAGAGUGAGGGCAGCUCACGACACUGCUGCUGCCAGGCUCCCAGCACGUGGGCAGCACAGCUUGCUUUCCUCUUGGAGAAGAUCCUUCCCCAGACAAGUGCUUGCUCCCAGCCCUGUCUCAGGAUCUGCUGAUCACUUUCCCAAAGAGUGCAUAGACAGAGCCCUUGAGGAAUGCCAAAAAUGACCUGGGUUAACUUUGGGAGAUACAGAAACUUUCAGCUAGCAGGUUUAUUGAGACGGUGUCACAAGAUGAGUUGUAUCAGGGCUCCUAUUUGAGGCAGUGCAUCAUGCCUGAAGACUCUGCAGCAUUCCUCAAUGAAAGCCUACUAAGCGCAAGAGUGGGAUGCCAGCAUCUGGUGGCUGGUAUCCAAGUGUGCUGUGAGCUGCGGGGAGGGAAGUAGUCUCUGGGAAGGAACCCGCCAGCUCAUUUUGUCCUCAUAAGUUGGAUGUAAAACAAGUUUGUAGAAAAACAGUUUUAAAAAAAGGCCAAAAUGAGAAGGCAUUUUCCAAUACCAGGUCCUUAAAUUUCCAUGGAAACAUUUUUGUUUUGCUUUAAGCAUAUUUGUGUUUGCAGGUCAAGGGUUGAAGCUCUUUCUCUUGCUGAGGUGGAAACAAGUGGAAUUUGAAGAGCAAAAGGAGUAGACAUGGAAUGGGAAACUGCUACUUGAAACAGGAAACUCACCUGUGAGCACGAGGCGUGAUGCAGCGUGAAUAAACUGUGGCUGCUGCGUAUUGGUUUCCUGCUGAGAGCAGAAAUGCUAUUUUGGCUUUUGGAGUUGAGUGUGUACACUGUGAAGCGCUGUGCUGAACUACCAGCUCUAGACGAGGCUUUGUAGACAUUUGGGUCUGUCCAAUGGCUGACCAGCUCUCUCUGAAGGCAGAGGCAUCUGAAUCAUAGCGCUGGGAGAAAUAUGGGCCUUUGAUCAUCAAAGGCCCAUCUGGGAGGAGCUGAUUAAUAAUUUUUUCUUGCUGUGGAAUCUGUGGAUGCUGGCUUUUUAAUCUGCCAGGAAUGUAAGGUCUGGGUGCAUCGUCAUCGUGUUUCUCCAGCAUAACACUGGCCUCGCUAGCAGUGUGAUGCAAUGGAAACAGGGGUGGGAGGCUCAAGCAGGAGGUGACCUCCCACCGUGUCAAAAGGCCAUGGGCCACCUCUGUUAACCACAACUCCUUUUCUUCUUCAGGGUGUGAACUGUGAUUGUAUUUGCAUUAAAUCUAGUAUUUCUGCAGCUGCUGCGAAAAGCAAAUAGUGCGGAGCUGGUCAGAGAGCAAGCAUUGCCUGUGACAAGGGAGUGAAGUGCGAGGGAGCCAUGGUAUGGGAUAAUGGUGGGGGCGAGUAUUUAUGGUGUUGCUUUUGCUGUAACCACCAGUGCCAGGGCACAGGCUUGUUGCUCCAGUGCACUGUUAGAAGCAUGUGCAGUGAGGGAUGGGCUGUGGGUGCUGCUGUACAUAGCCAGGGGCUGGGGCGAGUCAGGCUGGUGCUUCCAAGAGCUUCUGCUUGGUACACAGGUGAAGCGAAGAGGCAACCGGGGCUGGCAGCAGCCACCCAGAGCCAUCGCCUGCAGCUGCCCAGCACGGCCCAAGAGCGGAGCUCUUGUCGGCUGCACAGCCCUCCCUCCUGGGAACGGGACCCAGGAGACCGACGUGCGUUGCCUGUUGGAUGGGGCUGCGUGAGCAGCCAGUUCUAGUUUUGGCUGCAUCUCUGAUCAUAUAGGAGAUACUUUCACUCUACAUUGCUGUACUGAAACCCCACACAGGUUAGCCCCUUGCCCCACACACCUGGUUUAGGAAGGUUGCAGGAAGACUUGGAAGUAGGGAAGGCUCCCAAGAGCUGGGAGAGGAGACUAAGGACUUGGUGGCACUAUCUGCAGUCAGGUGCAGGAGAGCCUCAGAGCCCUUGGUAGGUGUUGGAAUGCCCAACUGGUGGGGUUGGCUCUGCUGCCCGAAGAAGAGUUCUUGGCUAUCUCUUCUUGCCCUCCAUCUCAGUGCCAGCUAGCCAUUAGCAUGGCAAACCUACUUCCAGGAAGCAGAUUUUGGUGAGAACACUUCCUUUUGGGCUAGUUUUCAGACAGAUCAUCAGGACUAUGGUUUGUUUCCCUCCCAAGCACUGCAGCCCUUCCUGAGUAGGGAAGGUGACUGUUGUUGGCAGCAGGAUUAGUUUAAAGGAAUUACAAAACUACAGGCUGGGAGGCACUGAAUGCACUGGCUUUUGGGGGGCAUCUUCUGCAGUUUUGCACACUAUCAGCUGUUCUGCGUGUGGCCCAGACCUUGCUAGCCUGUUGCAGUAGCUGUGUAAUGAUCUCCUGUCCCAGUGCAGGUGGCAGUGCCCUUCCUGUGCAGGGACAGAGCAGGGCAGGAGGGGGAUUGAGAGGCUGCCAUGGCAAAUAAGAGGUUGGAUGAGAACUGGUGGGUGGCCUAUGGUGGGAACAAGUGAGGGUGCAAGAGCUUGUCCUGUGCUGGAGCAGGGCAGCUGGCUUGAGUUCAGACUGCAUGCAAAGCGUGCUGCCCGCCUGGAAAUCUGUAGCUGCAAACCCUGCUACCUUCCUGCAUGCCUUCAGCCACCUUCCAGGCGGCCUCUGGCUCCCCUGCCUCACUUCUGUGGUGGAGAGGCUUCUCGCACGCUGAUGGGACCUGCAACCUCAGAUCAUUCCUCUGUGCGUGGGAAUUACUGUGCACGGGUCAUGGAAACAAAGCGGCAUUUCUGAAAGCCAUGGGGCAGCAGAGGCUGAGGCGGGGGUGUGCUCACUGCCCUGGCCGAGCGGGCAUCCAGAAGCCGAGCCCCUUAAAUAAGCUUCAUUAACACUCAAGAAGUGUAUUUUGCAGUGUGGUAAGUCUCUAGCAAGUGGAUGUGGCAAUCGCGAAUCAGGAGAUCCCUGACUGCAGCCAGAGCCAUUGGCUGAGAAACCAGCCUCUUCCAACUGGGCUGUCUUUAUUUCCUCCUUUGCUGCCUUGUCACACUCUUUGCGUAACUGCUGGGGCGAUGCCAGCACCUUGUGGCACUGCCCGGGCUCGCUGCAGAGCAUGGCCCUGUUUGUAAGCAGUGAGUUUAGGCUUCUCUGGAAGCCGAGCGGCAUGUGUCACCUUUCCAGAGCAAGUUUCCUUUCUCAGUCCUACCCUGAGACUCUGUGACUCAGGCAGUGGUAUCUCUUGCUCUUUUGAGUAACCACCUUGUCUGACCAGAGGCCUGCAGGAGCUGGCGGGUGGGUGAGUGGAGGCAGUUUACAGCACUGGUGAUGUGGGGUGUGAGUAGGAGCUCUGAAUCUGCAGCCUGUAGGUUGUGCAGCCUCUGAACUCAGUGGCUGGCUGUGUAGGGCCAGUGUGCUGCCAUGUCCCGUUGGGUUCCGGACUGGUGAGCACUGAAGUUACUGGUGUAGAAGUAGUAUCAGAGGCUGCGGAGAGCAGCAGCCUUUGAUGUCAUGAGGGACCAAAACCAGGAGUACAGUUCUGGCAUUGCACUGGAAAUCUGCUGCUAGCUGUACUUGCCUGGGCAAAGGCAACAGAGAAUCCACGCUUGGAGUGGUGAACAAACCUUCAUAUGAAAAUAUAUGCAGCUAAUUGGUUGAUGAGCUAAAACCUAGUAGCCACAGGCUGGCGCAAAAUGUGGGGUCAGAGGAUAUAGGGUUAACUAGGACUGCAAGUCAACAUCAAGUGCAAAUGAAGGCAUGUAGGUUUAGGGCAGCUUGGAGGUGAGGUGUGUGAGGCCGUGGGGGCUGUUCCUCCCACAGGGAGCAGAUGCCACCAGCCUGGCAGAUCUGGCUGGACCGGAACAGCCUCCAGGGUGACUUCAGAGCUUUGCUGCCAGACCGUCUCCAGGCUCCUGAAGAGCUGGUGUGACCAGGCAGUGCGUGUGUCAGCCUGCUUGCUCACAGCGGCUCCUGGGAAGGUGCAGCCAGGGAGAGACGGAGUUUCCUGUCUAGACCCCAGUAAUUGCAGUGAGGAGGGGCUUGCACGCAAGCUCCUGCUCUUUCUUCUGUGAUGACUGAAGCAGAAGCCAGGCCACAGCUCCUCGGGCAGGAACACCUUGCUUCUGCCAUGCGUCUCGGAAAAUGCAGCGCCUGUCUGCUCCUCGCUCCCCCUUGAUUUGGCCCAUUAGUCAGAGCAGGAGACAGCUGCCCUGUUGGCUCCGUCACUGCUUGCUCCUGGCUCGUGGGAGAGCUCAGGAAGUUUGCAGCUCCCCAGCUGUGAGUGCAGGGUUUCCCUUGGUGCUCAAGGGAUGCUCCUGGAGCCCAGGAAUGAGUCUCGCUGGAGGCUACUUUUGAGAGGAAGGAUUAGAAGCAUCGGGACCAGCCCACCUCCUUUUGCCCCAGAAGCUAUGUGACCGAGGGACUUCAGGUGCUACUUAAGUAAAGAAAUAGUAUUAAACCAUGUCCCUUUGCCAUGAGCUGUGUAGCUCCAGCACCUCUGUUCCCCUGGGGAAGGCAGAGCAUGCCACUGUGCAGUGUGGGGGCAGCGUGGAUUUAGCACGGGCCAUGACAGCCAUGGAGUUCCUGCACUCCAUGACACACACGAAGCUUGGGCCACAUUGUUGCUCAGGGUCCCUUGUCCUUGGGGAACCAGGGCCCUAAAUGGUCACCAGCACAGCUUCCUACUAGGGGAUGUUUGCAAUCCCCUUGUGUUAGGAGAACAGAGCUGUCAUUUACAGCCUGCCAGCUCCUGGCUGCAUGUGGAAGCUUCCCUGUGUGGUGGCAAUGCUGCUUGGCCCUCCUGAGGUUGCUGCUGGGGCCAGCCUGCCUGUGGAGAGUUGUUCACUGGAAAUGUCUCUUGCUGCCCAGUGUGCACAAGAGGGAGGGGAGAGGACAGGAAGCCAGAACCAUUUCACAGACUAAUUUAACUGCAUACAAAAAUGUUUUAGUAAUAAGUGAAUGCAUAGAAGUCAGCUUUGCUGAUGCUACUCUCCUCCAGUCAGUGGAGCUCGGUGGAGCUUGGGCCCAUGCAGGUUUUCCAGGACCUGUCUCCCCUUACAGCCUUCAGAUUCAGUUGCCUAGAUGUGAAAUCCCUCGAUGUCUGUCUGGGCAGUGUGAGACCAGCACACUGGUGGCAGAAGUCCUGUUCGUGCGUCAGCAAGUCAGCAGCAGGAACCCGUGCUGCGCCUCCUCUCCCAGUGGUUUCCUGAAAAGCAGCUCUUGUAGGCGAGAGGGAUCCCAGGGCCUGGGGACUGCAUAAGAGUGACAAGGAGCCCUUUGCCAUCCCCAUGGCCCACGCUGUUGCUAACAACCUUUACUUAGUUUGAAUAAAAGUCCUUCAGUAUUUAGAAACGAGGCUUGAAGAAAUGCCCUCACGGCACGGGCAUUUCAGCUGCGUGUACAGAAGUGUCACUGCAGGUCUGCUGUGAGGGGACAGAUGAGGAGCGAUGGCAGCAGGCCUGUGCCAUGUGCUAAUGAAUUUUCCUUCAGCGUUAUGGGUCCCAGCUCCCUGGGGGCUUGCAGGAGUCGGGGGGAGGCUGUCAGGGGAGCACCAACUUUGCAGUUCUUGUCUGUUGGCAGGUGCUGUGUCCUCUGUCUCACACAUGAGCACCCCCUGGCCUGCCCCCCGUAGCGGCCGGGUGCUGCUUGGUAGAGGCCAGGGCAUGAUUUUGCUGCAGCCUGCACCCAUGGGUGCUGCUCUACUCCAGGCAGCUGGGGGAGCACCCUAGAGCAGCGUAUGUUUUUACCCUUUCCUCCAGCCCCUCUGCAUGGCUGAACAGUGCUGAGGACCUCAGCUGUUCCCCUUUAGCUGUCCUUGGUCUUGGUGGGCUUUGGUGGUCAUUCAAGCCAUGCUGGGCUCUUCUGCUGGUGGCUGGGGAGGUGACUAGUGAAGCUGUGCCAGGAUGCUCUAGGCUGAGGCCUGAACUGUAAUAACAAUAAUGCCAAUGCUUAUCAGUACCCAGCUUGGUCUGGAGACUGAGCUCAAUCGAGCUCCCCAGGCCUGCAGGAAGGCGCCCUGUGUGCGGCUGGAGCCACUGUGGGGAAGCGGGAGCAUGGUGCUGCGGUGGUCCCCGGCAGGCUUUGCUGAGAAGCAGACCUCGUGAGGACAGCAAGCCCCACGCCAGCAUGCAGCAGGUACCACCUGUGGAGCCCCGUGUGUGCCCCCUGAGGGCUCUCCCCAUGGUCCUCUGCAAUCCCAGCUCUGGGGAAGGUCCCUGAGGGUCCCCCCAGCCCAAAACAAAAUGCGUUUGGAGCAGUGCUCUCCCUGCCAAAGGUUUCCGUCCAGCAGCGAGGACUGCCUGCACUCACACAGCGAUGUCUUCUGCUGGCCUGGUGUCCACAAGAGACUGUUGUGUCUGUUGUUUGGAAACGCAGAGAAAAUAGUCAAAAGAGCCAAUUGGUGAUUCUUCCAGUCACCUAGGAGCACCCAGGCUAGCAGGAAAAAAUGCUGCAUGCUGAAUUCCUGUCUUGGGAUGCAUGGCUUUGGUCUGCUUCCCUUCCAAGCCUAGCCUAAUUAAAGAUGAUUAAGGAAACACGCAUAUUUGGUGAUGAUGCCAGGGAAUUUCUGAUAGAAAGGAAGGUCUGGCUUUAGAAAACUGGCCCAGCUGGGAAAGAGAGCCUUUCUUACCUAAGUGCAAAAGGAUUUUGCUGUUGUCUCUGUAAGGAGAUCUCAGUGUGUUAACUGCUCUCUAGGCUGCAAGCGAUACAGGUUCUGAUUUCCUUUUCCUUCCCUGAUACAGUUAACAUAUCCUACUUUUUGCAGCUCUGCUGUUGCAACAGGCCCCAGCAGCUCCAAGGAGGUUUCAAAGGGAACAAAACUCAAAGUCCAUGUAAACAUUGCCCAGGCCAAAUAUUAACACUUCCAGGACGUCACUGGGAAUGAAUAACCACUGUCCUCACUUCGGGAAACGUGUAGGGUCCUGUGUGCCCUCAGCUGGCUGCUUGCAGCUCUGUCCUGGGCAGCUCUUGGCCCCAGCACGCUGGCAUGUGCUGGCAGUGCCAAGGCGGACCUUAACUCUCCUCUGGGUUUUC